UGGAACAUUAUUAUCGGUGUAAUUGAGCCUCUUGGAAACACUUUGUAGUUAUUUUUUUGUGAUCUCCUGGCUUAACGGUUUGUUAAUUGGUUGACAGAGAAGCAGUAUCGCUCCUAUUUUCGAUGGGCAUUUGUGUUUGACCUUUUGAAGAUUGGUGAUUCUGACAUUUAAAGGCCAUUAACUUCAUUGAGUCGCUAGUGUUUCCAUUAGAAAACGAGACUGUUUUAUUCUUAUGUAUGAAGUAUGACAUAAUACACGUAUAUUAUAUCCAACCGUGUUCCAGAUGGCGUAUUAAGGCAUGUGUUUUAACAUGUAAACAAAUUGAUAAUGUAUGAAAUAGAUGGAUCUUCAAGAAAUGAAAGUUGUUCUUGUUGUUUAAUUCAAACUAAAAUUAUAUAUACAAGGACUUAGGUGAUAGAGUCAUAAUGAAUAUUACUUAUACUUUGGAAUGAAAUUCAAAUUCACCCAACAUUAGCGAGCUAGGUACCCAUGAAAGACUUCGCAAAUGUUCAAAUUAGUCUGUCGGUCAUAUUCUUUUCUCUUAAAAAGUAUUUUCGAUACUAAAAAUAAAUUAACCAAGAACAAUGUGUUGUAGUAUAACUUUUUUCUAUGGUAUGUUAUAUUUCAAAAAACCAGCUGCUGAAAUUUUUUUUUGCAAUUAUAUGAAUCAUAAUAAACAAAAAUUUACUUUUG
rnacentral:misc_RNA from 1 species